UACGUAGGUGGCGAGCGUUAUCCGGAAUGAUUGGGCGUAAAGGGUGCGUAGGCGGCCUGCUAAGUGAGAUGUGAAAUACUCGGGCUCAACUUGAGUGCUGCAUUUCAAACUGGAAGUCUAGAGUGCAGGAGAGGAGAAUGGAAUUCCUAGUGUAGCGGUGAAAUGCGUAGAGAUUAGGAAGAACACCAGUGGCGAAGGCGAUUCUCUGGACUGUAACUGACGCUGAGGCUCGAAAGCGUGGGGAGCAAACAGG
rnacentral:rRNA from 1 species